rnacentral:rRNA from 1 species
UACGUAGGGUGCGAGCGUUGUCCGGAAUUACUGGGCGUAAAGAGCUCGUAGGCGGUUUGUCGCGUCGUCUGUGAAAUUCUGCAACUCAAUUGCAGGCGUGCAGGCGAUACGGGCAGACUUGAGUACUACAGGGGAGACUGGAAUUCCUGGUGUAGCGGUGAAAUGCGCAGAUAUCAGGAGGAACACCGGUGGCGAAGGCGGGUCUCUGGGCCGAUACUGACGCUGAGGAGCGAAAGCGUGGGGGAGCGAACAGG